UUUCUGGUUUAGUCCCGACUUAUUUCUAAUGUGUAUUUUGGGCCUCGAGGACUCGUAUAAGGGACAAUUUGCAUGUUUUGAAUUGGUUUUAAUAUGUUUAAUGAUAUGUUAUGAAAUGUUUGAAUUUUCUAUUCUUUUGAAUUGUAAACUCCAGUAAUGUAUCGUAACCUUGUACCGGCGACGGAUACAGGUCAGAGGUGUUACACGGUUAGCACUAGUCUGCUCGUUCUUACUGCCGACAAUGCAUUCCUGGCCUCAAUUGGCCGGGUCGUUCCUCCAGCACUGUUACUUUAAAGAAAUUAAUGUGCUCAAAAUAGGCCUACGCUUGUAUACAUUAGCAUGGGAUAACAUGAUAGGAUUUUGAUCCUAUUAUCUUGGCCUUCGAGAUCGGAGUAAUGAUUAAUAGAGACAGUCGGGGACAGUCAUAUUUCAUAGUCAGAGGUGAAAGUCUUGGAUUUAUGAAAGAUGAACAACUACAAAAGCAUUUGCCAAGGAUGUUUCCAUUAAUCAAGAAUGAAAGUUGGGGGCUCGAAGAUGAUCUGAUACCGUCCUAGUGUCAACCAUAAACGAUGCCGACCAGGGAUUGACGGAUGUUGCUUUUAGGACUCCGUCGACACCUUAUGAGAAAUCAGAGUCUUUGGGUUUUGGGGGGAGUAUUGUUGCAAUGAUGAAACUUAAAGGAAUUGACGUAAGGGCACCACCAGAAGUGGAGCUUACGGCUUAACUUGACUCAACAUAGGAAAAUUUACCAAGUCCAGACAUAGUAGGGACAGACUGUGAGCUCUUUCUUGAUUCUAUAGAUGGUGGUGCAUGGCCAUUCUUAGUUGGUGGAGCAAUUUGUCUAGUUAAUUCCGUUAACGAAUGAGACCCCAGUCUACUAACUAGGUACACGCAGGUAAUCCUACGUAGCUAGCUUCUUAGAAGGACUAUGGCCUUUUAAGCCAUGGAAGUUUAAGGCAAUAACAGGUAUGUGAUGCCCUUAAAUGUUCUAUGCUGCACGUGCACUACAAUAAUGUCUUCAAAGAGUCUAUAGCCUUGGUCGAUAGGCUCGAGUAAUCUUUGAAAUUUCAUCGUCAUGGGGAUAGAUCAUUGCAAUUGUUGGUUUUCAAUAAGGAAUUCCUAGUAAGCACGAGUUAUCAUCUCGCGCUGACUAAGUGCCUACCCUUUGAACACACCGCCUGUCGCUUCUACCGAUUGAAUGGUCCAGUAAAGUGUUUGCAUCAUGACGACGUGGGUUGUUCGAUGCCUGCAUCAUCGCGAGAAGUCCACUUAACCAUAUCAUUUAAAGGAAUUGGAAGUCAG
rnacentral:rRNA from 1 species